rnacentral:lncRNA from 1 species
CAGGACAGAGGAAAGAAUGAGGUCCAGUAGGAAAAAAAGCAUUCUUGGCAUGAAAACUCCCCCCUACUUGCUUGAAAAUGGUCCAUAGCAGUAGAAGGUAAGAAUCUAGCAACCAGAGAUUUGCUGAACAUAACAGAAAAGAAAAUGGGAUUUAUUUUUUUCUUUAAUGGGGAAGGGGCUUAACGCUGGCAAGGUUACACUUGAAAGUAAGUCCUCUAGGUAUGAGCUAUUAAUAAAGGGUAAAAUAUAUUCUGGAAUUGGAUUUUCAAAUUAAUAUGAAACCUCUUUUUACUCCAGUGGUUUCUAUAGCAAGUAGAGGAAUGGUCCCCAGAUUUUGUUACUGAACCAGCUGAUAUGCCAGUUAGUAAGUGGAAAGCUCCUACUUUGUGUAUGGUUAUGCUCCUGAGCAUUCUAAAACAAUUCAGCAAGCAACUGCUAUGGCUUGAGGAAAGUAACUGUCUGCCUUUUAAUGCUGAAGAGAACUUUCUUGGAAUCAUGAAAAUAUUUAUCAUAAAAGGCGAUCACACACGAUCCAAUCCCCUAUCAAAAAAGGAAGCCUUACCUGAUGGCAGAAACAGCGGCUGCAGGAGCAGCAGUAGAAAGAGCAGCAGCAGCAGCAAGAUGCAACAAGCCAGGCUUUGCAAGGAAGGUGAGAUAUUCUCUCUCUCUCCCCCUCUCUCUUUCUCUCUGUGUUAUUCUUCUAAAUCACUGUAGCAGCAAACUGCCUUGCAUUGUGUCCUCUUUCAGUCACAAAAAGGUACUUCAAGCCGCGCAGCCAGCAGACACCACUUUCUUCCUGGAAGCGGCUGCCUCUCUUCUCAGAAACGCCUGGACCCCUCUCUGUGGCUCCCUCCACGUUUACCCUUCAGAUCAAUGAUGCUCGCAGAGCGGCUGGAGCUCAGCUGCAGCGCCGAGCGGCCAGCCAAUGGGGACCCAGGAUUCCCUCCCAGUCAUCUCCCCGCCCUCAAAACAAAACACAGCGUGCCUUUGACACAUCAACGAGUUGUGAAAAGUACUUGAAUCCUAUAUUUUAGAUUUAUCUUGGUUGUUCUUUUUUUUCCUUAGCGUUCCCUGCGUAAGGCUUGUAAGAAUCAAAGCUCUCCGAACACUCGUUAAAAGAGCUUAGUAGAGGAAGAAGAUUGGGCGCGGAGAAAGUGAGGGCACCAGAGUUAGCGCUGGAGCGUUGGCGUUUAAACGCUUAAGGACUGUUCAAAAUCAAAGAACUAUCGGCAAAAAGUUCUGGGAGGCAAAAAGCUUGGAUUCUAGUCCUCACUCCCGUAAAUAGCUUCCUUUAUUUUUGUGGAACCAGAAAAUAAAGUCCACUUUCACCUGAAUGUUAUCA